AUUGAACGCUGGCGGCAGGCCUAACACAUGCAAGUCGAGCGAGCGGCGGAAGGGUGAGUAAUGUCUGGGAAACUGCCUGAUGGAGGGGGAUAACUACUGGAACCGGUAGCUAAUACCGCAUACCAUCAGAUGUGCCAAGAUGGGAUUAGCUAGUAGGUGGGGUAACGGCUCACCUAGGCGACGAGCCCUAGCUGGUCUGAGAGGAUGACCAGCCACACUGGAACUGAGACACGGUCCAGACUCCUACGGGAGGCAGCAGUGGGGAAUAUUGGACAAUGGGCGAAAGCCUGAUGCAGCCAUGCCGCGUGUGUGAAGAAGGCCUUCGGGUCGUAAAGCACUUUCAGCGGGGAGGCGUUACCCGCAGAAGAAGCACCGGCUAACUCCGUGCCAGCAGCCGCGGUAAUAC
rnacentral:rRNA from 1 species